UGGCGGACGGGUGAGUAACGCGUGGGCAACCUGCCCUGUACCGGGGGAUAACACUUAGAAAUAGGUGCUAAUACCGCAUAAUAGGGAAUACCGCAUGGUAAUCCUUUGAAAACUCCGGUGGUACAGGAUGGGCCCGCGUCUGAUUAGCCAGUUGGCGGGGUAACGGCCCACCAAAGCGACGAUCAGCAGCCGGCCUGAGAGGGUGGACGGCCACACUGGGACUGAGACACGGCCCAGACUCCUACGGAAGGCAGCAG
rnacentral:rRNA from 1 species